GCGGGUGUAAUUCAGUGGCAGAAUGCUUGCUUCCCAAGCAAGACGUCGUGGGUUCGAAUCCCAUCACCCGCUCCA
rnacentral:tRNA from 1 species